rnacentral:rRNA from 1 species
CCCCUAGAUGUUCUGGGCCGCACGCGCGCUACACUGAACAGUUCAACAAGUCUUAACCUUGGCCGAUAGGUCUGGGUAAUCUUUGAACGCUGUUCGUGAUUGGGAUAGACCUUUGCAAUUAUGGGUCUUCAACGAGGAAUUCAUAGUAAACGCAAGUCAUCAGCUUGCAUUGAUUACGUCCCUGCCCUUUGUACACACCGCCCGUCGCACCUACCGAUUGAAUGGUCCGGUGAAAUCUCGGGACGGCGGCUUGGUCGCUUGCGUCCGACUGCUGAAACUUGAUUAAACCAUAUCAUUUAGAGGAAGGUGAAGUCGUAACA